UAUGGCGGAAUUGGUAGACGCUACGGACUUAAAAUCCGUUGGCUUUAUAGUAGACCGUGAGGGUUCGAGUCCCUCUACCCCCA
rnacentral:tRNA from 1 species